GGCAAAUAGACACUAUAAUACAAGUAGAAAAUUCUGCCAGUGUGUUGCUCUGGGUUUCUUUUGGCUGCUGCUGUUCACUGUUAAUAUUAUUCUGUUUUUUCUUUUAAUAGUGUGAGGAGAUGUGGUGGGGACCAUUAACUGUUGGAAGGAUUCCUUUUAAGGAUGCAUUAUAUCAAGAGCUAGAUAUCAGAGCCACUUGGGAGAAAUAAGAAACAGGUGUAGAAACAGCUCCCGAUGACUCCCAUGAAAUUGAAAAAUCAGGUAGAAUGUGUGAAGUCUCAAAGGACUGAUAAGAAAACUGGACAACCAAGGCUAUUUGGAUUUUGGAUUUCACACAGGCAGCUGAACCUAGACAGACCAGAAGCACCGUGCAGCCAUGCUCACAGUUGUUGAUGGACUGCUAUGCGUUACGUUGUCUCAGUGGCCUAGUGUUUUGUAGUUUACAGCAGUGAUCUGAUGCGCUGAGGAUGUCAAGUUAUUUGGUGAGUGUGAAAUAAUUUGUUCUUGUUUUCAGUGAGAUUUCUGGUCUUUCCAUCAUGGAUGUUUUGCAAUAAAGAUUGAACUAUAUAAACAUUGAGUAUUCAACAUGUUUUAUUUGUAAGAAUAAUCUUAAGUAUGUAUUGCAUAAUAGUGCCACAAGAACUUAAUGAGAGUAAGUGAAUAGCCAUAUUAUGGCAUAAUUAAUAAAGAGAACAGACUUUGUUAGGUUGUUUAACUAAUGUGUCUGUUGAAGUAACUGAGCCAACUUUAAGGGGCUUUGGUGUUGUCUUAGCAUAAAUCCAUGCUCCUAAAAGUUAAUGGUAAUGAUUUUUUUUACUUAUGAAAAUUCACUGAACAAGUGGUUUUUCAAGAAUAAAUUACCUGCAUGGGGCAGAGUAAGCUUAUACUCAUCAAAAUCACUCACCUAGAUAAGUGAAGGAAGGCUUCAACAUCCACAUUCCAUUUUAAAAGUUCUUACUACUGAAAAAUGUACAGAUAUUGAAUAAGUUAGGAGAAUAUAUUUGAAAUAAUUUCCAAAAUUCAACCCAGUAAAAGUUACAAUACGAAAUUAUCACAGAGCUGAGUAGUAUUAGGCAAGAUAAAACUAAUAGCCUGGAGUCAUUCUCCCUCUCUUUGUCUCUCUCUCUGUCUCUCUAAUGACACAUCAAAACAAUAAUUUGAUAUAAUAGAAUCAUUUUGUAUAAGUGACCUGACCUAUCAGUUGAAGAAAAAAAAUAGAGCGAGGCAUUGAUAAAAGCAGUUUUUAAUUCAGUCAGUCAAAGUUUUACUUUGAAUUCUAAGAGGAAACAUUAUUUUUACCUUGUCUGUCUUUCUAAAUAUUUAUGAGAAGUAUCACUUGCAGUCCUAAAGUGUAUGAGCCAUUUCCAUUUGCCACUGGAAAACGGAGCAGUUCUAUCCAUGUGAGGAUGUCGACAGAUGAAUAAAUGUCACUGGUGAGAAAGAAGAAUGGGUUAGGGGUUAAUGGGGAAGAGUAGGAGCACUGGUUUUGAAAAGAAUUAAUUUAAAUCUAUUUCUUUCAUUUUAUCUUUUGGAGUGCAGGGGUGCGACACUAACUCACUGCAGCCUCAAACUCCUGGGUUCAAGGGAUCCCCCCACCUCAGCCUCUGAGCCUCAGUCUCUGGGUAGCUGGGACUACCGGUGCACCUCCAUGCCUGGCUAAUUGUUUUUAAUUUUUUCUUUGUAGAGGUGAAGUCCAUCUUUCUCUAUCUUUCUUUCUUUCUUUUUCUUUCUUUCUUUCCUUUCUUUUUCUUUCCUUCCUUCCUUUCUUUCUUUCUUUCUUUCUUUCUUUCUUUCUUUCUUUCUUUCUUUCUUUCUUUUUUGCAGCAUCCUAUGUCCUCUAGAUGUGUCCUGCAAUUCUGAUAUGCUUGUACAGCAGGAGUGACCAGAGCUGGGCAGUUUUGUCACUGGCUCCAUACGACCAGCU
ensembl:lincRNA